rnacentral:rRNA from 1 species
GAUGAACGCUAGCGGGAGGCUUAACACAUGCAAGUCGAGGGGCAGCAUAGGGUAGCAAUACGUCUGAUGGCGACCGGCAAACGGGUGAGUAACGCGUAUGCAACCUACCCUGUACAGGGGGAUAACCCGGAGAAAUUCGGACUAAUAUCCCGUAAUAAUAUCCGGAGGCAUCUUUGGAUAUUUAAAGUUCCGACGGUACGGGAUGGGCAUGCGUAACAUUAGCUGGUUGGUAAGGUAACGGCUUACCAAGGCUAUGAUGUUUAGGGGUCCUGAGAGGGUGGUCCCCCACACUGGUACUGAGACACGGACCAGACUCCUACGGGAGGCAGCAGUGAGGAAUAUUGGUCAAUGGGCGCAAGCCUGAACCAGCCAUCCCGCGUGCAGGAAGACGGCCCUAUGGGUUGUAAACUGCUUUUCCAGGGAGAGAAACUUACGCACGUGUUGCGUGACUGACGGUACCCUGGGAAUAAGCAUCGGCUAACUCCGUG